UGCUCGUCUGGACUAGGCGAAGAGAAA
rnacentral:sRNA from 1 species